GUGAACUUAAUUUUAGAGCAAUUCAAGUAAGGUACAGCCUGCUUGAAACAGGAUACAACCUAAAAAUGUGGGUAAUUAAAUCUUUCUGCCAUAAAGUGGGCCUAAAAGCAGCCACCUUUUGAAUAGCGUCACAGCUUAAUCACAUACAGAUUUAAUAACAAAAAUUUUACCGAACCCCACCCUACUACCAAGCAAUUCUAUAUUUUUAUAGAACUUUUUAUGUUAAAACUAGUAACAAGAAGAACCCCUUCUCUUUAAUGCAAGCAUAAAUCAGCCAGGACCAACCACUGAUAAUUAACACCUAUGAACUAAUAGUAACAACACUUCAAGAAAACCUUACUUCAUCUUAUGUUAACCUAACACAAGAGCAUUAUAAGAAAGAUUAAAAGAAAAAGAAGGAACUCGGCAAACAUUAACCCCGCCUGUUUACCAAAAACAUCGCCUCUUGAUUCUAAUAAGAGGUCCAGCCUGCCCAGUGACUUUGUUCAACGGCCGCGGUAUCCUAACCGUGCGAAGGUAGCGUAAUCACUUGUUCUUUAAAUGAGGACUAGUAUGAAUGGCACCACGAAGGUUAUACUGUCUCCUUUCUCUAAUCAGUGAAACUAAUCUUCCCGUGAAGAAGCGGGAAUAAACAUAUAAGACGAGAAGACCCUAUGGAGCUUUAAACAAGUAUACAACUGCCUUUCCUAUUUUUAAAUUUCAGAAAACAAACCAUUAUUCAGGCAUUUUGGUAUAAAGUUUUAGGUUGGGGUGACCACGGAGAAAAAUGUAACCUCCGCAAUGAACGGGGCUUCCCCCCUUAACUAAGAGCUACGACCCUAAGAAUCAAUAAAUUGACAUCAAUUGACCCAAUAAAUUUGAUCAAUGAACCAAGUUACCCUAGGGAUAACAGCGCAAUCCACUUCAAGAGCCCCUAUCGACAAGUGGGUUUACGACCUCGAUGUUGGAUCAGGGUAUCCUAGUGGUGCAGCCGCUACUAAUGGUUCGUUUGUUCAACGAUUAAAACCCUACGUGAUCUGAGUUCAGACCGGCUAUUG
rnacentral:rRNA from 1 species